GUUGUUUGUUAAGCUAGUUAACCUAAAGCUAACCAGCCAACAUCUCUGACCUGCAGAGAAAGGUCUAAAUUGCCAUUAUCUGAUAAAGUCCAUCAUCUCAUCAGUGCUCAUCUUUACACGCUCAGCAUCUCCAGAGCAGGCAACUGUCACCAUGGAGACACCGCCAUUCUUUUGCUCAUGUGAGGAGAUUAAAAGUGCUCUGCCCAUUACUGACUGGUACAAGCCCUGAGACUUGAAUGGAUGGACAGCCAUUAUGAGAAGAAGAAGAUACCUUUUUCAUUUAGACCAGCUUUUUCUUCAAGGCUGCUGCAAGAACAGAAGCUCACCUUUCCCACAGAAAAACCCUUGGAUUAUGACCAGGAACAACAGAGAGCAGGCCCAGUCUUCCUGUAUCUACUCUUCAUUACCCAGCCACAACACCAAGGUAAAAGACAAUGGACAAAAGCUACCAUAUCGAUUCCAUUUCCAAAGCUGUAUAGCACGCUUUAGGUAAUUAAAAAGAAGCAUUUGUCAUUUAGCCUUCAUAAAGUGUUUACAUCAGUUACGUGUUUUGGUACACAACCUUGCUAUGCUGUUGAAAGUAUAUAUAAUAUAUUACAGUAUGUUGUGUGUCAGGUGUGGGUACAGUGCUUUUUUUUUUCAUUUAUAAAUUAGAUGACAUUAUGCUUUGCAAGGCAUAGGUAUUGGUCAGAAUUAUCUAGAGAUACACAUCAUCACAUCAUUUCACUGUUUAUCCCUGUAUUUCUUUUUUUGCGUGACUGGACUUUUCUGUAGGUUUGUGAAUUCUACUAUCAGGAGUAUGUAGAAUACAAAACAUUUGUUUGCUUUGUUUACUGUUGGGUUGACUUUGUCCUACAAAAUUGCAAAAUAUAUGAAGAAAUCAGUACACAUUUGCAGAAAAACAGCAGAAUGUAAAGAAUUAUUAUUGUGCUGUCUUCAAUGUAUGAAAAAUAAAACUUUAACACUGCUUUCUUUUCA
rnacentral:lncRNA from 1 species